rnacentral:lncRNA from 1 species
GGAGAAUGGCUGAUCUAAGGGGGUGGGGGUCUAAAAAUCAGAUAGGUCAGCAUUUGGCUCCAAAGGAGCUGAAGGAGCAAGGCUUCCACAGCGUGUGUGUUUUGUCUUUCAAGUCCCCCUUUUGUUCCCUGCCAUCAGGAAAUGCAGUAGACAUUUGUCACCCGCAGCUCUUUGGAGACUUCAGUGUUCCUUCCUCCCAGGGUCCAAAAGGGGACUUCAGACACAAAAUACUCAGAUCUUGCAAACCGGCAGGAUUUUUUGUGCAAUGUUUAUCAGACAGGCUAGAGGCUGUGAAGACAGACUUUGGGAAAUAGUUUAAGCAGUUCAUAAAUCAGAUGUAAUUGUAAAGGAUAGGGUGUCCUCUCUGAAAGCCCCCGUAACCUUUCUUUUAUAAUAUCUUUACUGGGGCAAAAUUGUAAUGUGUAUAAGGACCAGGGGUCUAAUGAAGUCAGGUUGCCUCAGGUCACUGAAUGUAAUUUGUUUUUUCUGGCCAAAUCAUGAAACAGAAUUACACUGCUCCCUAUUACAUUUAUAUGAUAUCAUCUCUUUUGAUAUUGUCGAGUGUGUUAUGCCAGGCUGCAUAGCAUUACUGAUAACAAAAUUCUUUGGAAAAAUAUUUUUUUUUUCUUUCUCCCACCCCUCCCCCCUUCUCUUUUGGUUUUGUUUGGUUUGUAUACACAAAAUAACAACAGCUGAAAUCAGCUGGAGUUCUUGUCUGGCAAGCAAGUAAAAAGUGCUUUUCAUAUGAAAUUUCUGGCAUGCUCUAAAAGCAUGAUGCAAAGCAUUUUUACCCCCUUUGCUUUGAAACUGGUGCUUAUAUGACUUUUCAAAAUAGUAUUUGGUAUACUGAUCAGAAUACAGUUUCAUAUGAGGACCUUAAAGGGUUGCUUAAGAUUUUCCUUUGAACCUAACAUUAUCAGUUGUCAGAGUAUACGUAGCAUACUUUGCUGGAUUGCUAGCGUUCCUAACUCCAUGGAGAAUCUAAGACAUCAGGACCUCAAAAGAAUGGAGUAAAGAGUGGCUCAAGAGGAGAGAUCAGUGAAAUACCAACGAGAAGAACAGAGUCAAGUUCUAAAGGGCAGCCAUUUCCCAAAUGCCAAGCAAGAGGUAAAUCAACACACUUGUUUUUUCCUGGCUGCACAAUCACAGGAAAAGGCUGAUCAAAGCUGGAGGGCAAGGGAAAGAGUGGUAGGGUGCCCAGGUUCUGGGAUCUGACCCCAAGUCCAAUCAGUUAAUCGUGGUCAAUUGUUUUGGACUACAACACGUGCUCUGCAACAGGUUCUUUUCCUUAAGAUAGCAAUCUUAGCAGAUCGUCCCCUUACGCGAUGUGCCCUGUUCUCCAGGGACAGUGAAGAUUACACACUAUCUGGCAUUACCUAAGAAAGACUGAAAUCACCUUAUGCAUAUCACAGU